GAAAUCGUUGAGGAAAGAGACAGCUUGUGCCAUGCUCAUAAGACCAUAGGUUUUGAAGCACACAUUGGCUAUUGGUCUUCUUGGAUAGAUGAUACCCAUGGCAUACUCUGUGAUUAUGUUUAUCCCUGGUGUCUAUACAUGAAGUACAAGGUCAUUAGCGAAGAACAGUUUGCAUAGAACAUGAAACAGCGGAAAGAAAGGCUACUAAAUCCAUUUAAAUGGGACCAAAGUUUUUCAAUGUUAUGGAAAGUCAAUCACU
rnacentral:misc_RNA from 1 species